UAGGGAAUAUUGCAAAAUGGGCGAAAGCCCGAUGCAGCAACGCCGCGUGGGCGAUGAAGGCCUUCGGGUCGUAAAGCCCUUUUUGAGGGGAUGAGGAAGGACAGUACCCUCAGAAUAAGCCUCGGCUAACUACGUGCCAGCAGCCGCGGUAAAACGUAGGAGGCGAGCGUUAUCCGGAUUUACUGGGCGUAAAGCGCGUGCAGGCGGAUUGGAGAGUUGGAUGUGAAAGCUCCCGGCUUAACUGGGAGAGGUCGUUCAAUACGUCCAGUCUUGAGUGCAGUAGAGNGAAGUGGAAUUCCGGGUGUAGUGGUGAAAUGCGUAGAUAUCCGGAGGAACACCAGUGGCGAAAGCGGCUUCCUGGACUGUAACUGACGCUCAGACGCGAAAGCUAGGGUAGCAAACG
rnacentral:rRNA from 1 species